UACGUAGGGGAGCGAGCGUUCGUCGAUUACUGGGCGUAAAGCGCAUGCAGGCGGUUCAGCAAGUCUCUGCUGACAGUCUCCGGCUUAACCGGGGAAGGCGUAGGGAAACUGUGGGACUUGAGACAUCGAGAGGCAGAGGGAAUUCCGUGUGGAGCAGUGAAAUGCGUAGAGAUGCGGAAGAACACCAGAGGCGAAGGCGCUCUGCUGGCGAUGUUCUGACGCUCAGAUGCGAAAGCCAGGGGAGCGAACAGG
rnacentral:rRNA from 1 species